AUGCUGCGUCUGGCGUGAGGGGCCGCACGUCGCGUCGGGAGCGGAAUCCUAGAGCUUUAGCGGAGCAAGGGGGUGAGAGAAAGGGUGGCGUUCCGCACCGAUAGCGCCUCAGCGUUCAGGGUUGUCCCUGGGCGGUAUCCUCACUCUUCUGGACCCGGGUGCUGCUUCCGGCUGAGCUAGGAGGUCGCGCAGGCAGGAGGCCUCGGUCGGAAGGGAGGGAGCGGCAGCCUCCAGGGGACAACAUGCCAACUGCCAAGCAACUAGCCGACAUCGGCUACAAGACCUUCUCCACCUCCAUGAUGCUCCUCACUGUUUACGGGGGCUACCUCUGCAGUGCCCGAGUCUACCGCUAUUUCCAGCGGCGCAGCUCCCAGCGCCAGGCUGCAGAAGAACAGAAGACCUCAGGAGUCCCGUAGAACUGGGGGGCUUUUUUCCUUGAGCAGAGAGACCUGAGGCAUGUUGUGGAAAGACCUCACCUGCAAUCAUUUCUGAGUCAAGAGGAUCAGGGCCUUAAUGGUUUUCGAACUCUGCUGGGAAAAAGUGCCCAUGUUUUCUCUGGUACAGUCAGUUUGGAGAGGCUAUUGAAUCAUAACAGGAAUGGGAGGGUGAGGCACACCUACAGACAUUAAAUAUUUUGCCAUGUCUGUGUCUUGGUGUUUUUGUUUACUUGAACAGGGUAUGGACUACAGAGGUGGGGUCUUGACUACCAGUUUUCUAGUCACAGACUGGAUUUCCAUAUCUUGAGCUCUUAGCACCCAUGAAGUAGGGGAUAUACAGUUCUAGGAGUAGUAAUCUCUCCUGAUCUCAGAGAAGAGACUGUCCCAGCAUUUGUAUAAAUCUCCUGAGAAGACUCUGUAAAGACCAAAGCUCUUUUGUGGUCAGUGACCAUUCCUGGACCAAUUAAACGGUGUCCAGGUAAUGGAGUUCUCUGGCCAGCUUGGCCACAUGUGCACUUCUGAGCCAGGGAGGCAGGGGCCCUUGUUUAACAGCUGUUAAAAUUGCACAAAGUGGAGGUGGAUAGUUCUUAAAAUGUGAAGGGCUUUCGGGCAGCCUACAGUAAUGCAGUCCAUCUCCUAAGCAUAGUGGGUAUAGUAUUAGCAUCAGGGUUGAUUUCUCACUGCCACUGCACAAGAAUCUACCUGCAGGUCUGAUUGCAGAGUUGUGAAGAGGAUUUGAAAGAAAACGAUGCAUUCAAGGUAAAAUCCAACUAUGAAGAGAUAUUCUUGCCAUCAUUUUUUUUUUUUGGCCACGUGGCAUGUGGAAUCUUAGUUUGAACCCAUGCCCCCUGCAGCGGAAGCCCAGAGUCUUAACCACUAGACCGCCAGGGCAGUCCCACCACCAUUUCGUUUUGAGCUUUGAGGCUUGCUUGUUCACGUCAUUCUUGGUGAUCGCCCCAAAUAUCAACCCCUUUGGACACCUGUCCUCUCUCAUGUACAUACUGCUCUGACCUUUGUCCCCCAUUCCUUAACCUUUCACCUGAAGGCCCUCUUCCAUGAUUUAAAAACUCAGCAUUUCUAUAUCCUCAAUUCAUUUACUCCCAUCCUCUCUUGAUGUGUUAACCAAGGACUCCACUGCCUUCUCUGCUUUCUCAUUUGCCUGUACAGACAGUAAAGUGACCAUUCUCUCAGCUCCCCAGUGCCACUUUCAAACAGUGUAAAAUCAGUCCUUUUUGAGGAGCUUUCUUACAUUCUCAUUUUCACUGUAUUCGAGAACUUGAAUACUUCAAAUCUUUGGAUUCCUUUUUUUCCUUCCAAUCUUUCACCCCCUUUUUGAUCUAAACUGCUUCCCUGUCCAGCCUGUGCCCACAGCUGAGCACCCGAACUGCUGCCCUGCCUCCAGCCUUACCCUUCUCAACCCCAGACCUUGCUCCAUUAGUUAUCUAACUCACCCUCUUCCUUCUUCGCAGUACAUAAACUUGCUUAAGUGGUAGCUUCUAAGUUAGAAGAUUGGUCUGGGAUUAAAUGAGACAAUUCAUAUUAAUACUCCGGUACCUGACAAGCAAUAAAUGUCAGCUAUUAAUACCUGCUGCUGACCUCCACAUUUGUAUCUUCCAGGUUGACCUUUGGAGCUUCAGAUAUAUCCAGUUGCUUGCUAUAUCCACUCAAAUCCUAUAGUCCUCUCUAACCUGUCCACGACUAAUAGCAUUCCUUCAUAUCUCCCGGACCUACUUGUUUUUUUUCCCCUUAUUUUCACUAUCAUUUAAGUCAGGAUUAUGGGAGUCUCAUUACACUAUUCUCUGUACCCUACUCCCAACCAAGUAACUGUCUUAUUAAUUUCUACCAUUUAAACAUCCAUUCAGUCAGUUCUACCCUUGUCAUUUCUUGCUUAUACUUUUGCAGGAGCCUUUUAGGGGUCUUAGUUCCAAUCUUGACCUCAUAUUUGCCACAUUGCUGUCAGAGACAUCUAUUUGGAACAGAUUCGAUUAUGGCAUUCUGCUUUGGAUCCCCUCUGAAGCUCAACCAUAGACAAUAGGUUAAGAAUCCCUGACCUAUAAGGUCCAGUCCAGACUCCUUGGUGUGAUGCAUGAGGUCCUUAAGACUUGACCCACCUUAUGUUCCUACCUCACCCUUUGUGUUCUGUAAAAUCAAAUGACCUGUGUGGUUGCACGUUGUUUCUUGUCUCCAUGCCUGUUCUUUCUUUCUCUCUAAAUGGAACAUCCUUUCUAUCCUCUUUUUCCUAAAAGGUUUCUCUGACUCUUCACGCUCCCAUGCUGGGCCAAGUAUCUAUAGAAGACACCACUUUUUCUCUAAAAAAAUCUUUAAAAGCACAGGUAUCUAAGACAGUUUUGAAAAGAAACAAGAUGGGUUGGGGUUACCAGAUAUCAAGACAUAGUAGAAAGCUAAUGGUAAUCUAAAUGUUGUACUAGUGCAGGAGCAGACAAACAGAUCAAUGGCACAGAAUAAUAAACUCAGACACAGAUCAGUGUAUCUGUGAGAAAUUGAAUAUGAUAGAGGAUACAUCACAAACCCACGGGGAAAUUCAUAUUCUAUGUUGCUAUGGAUACAUAUGUGAUUAUAAAAGUAUAAAAAAUAGAUUGAAAGGACAAUAGUAGCCGUUACAUUGGGGAUGAGGUGAGGUGGAAGAGGGCAGAGGUUAUAGGGGGUCUUAAAUGGAAACUGUUUCCUCUACUCACAACACUUCUACCACCAAAUAUGUUUCUCCCACACCAAACAAUUCUCCAACUCUCCAGACACCAACUAUGUCCUGCAGUUCAGUUCUGCCACUAAGCUACGUGGAGUUAGGGCAGACACCACAGGUUAAGGGCUCAGUCAUUCACAAGUAGUGGGGUCCCCAGGUUACCCACACUUUGCCUGACAGCUACAGAUCCGUUCCCACGACCUCCUCCUCAGGUUUGCUGUGAUGGCUCACGUGACUGAACUCAGAGAAACUAUGUAUUAUUACUAGUUGUUUAUUAUAAAGGAUACCACUCGGGAACAACCCUGUAUCAGCAUCUCUAUGUGUUCCACCCAGAAGCUCUGAACCUCACUGUUUAGAGUUUUAAUGGAGGUUCCAUUAUAUAAGCAUGAUUAAAUCAUCAGCCAUUCACUGAUUAACCCAAUCCCCAGCACCUCUCCCCUCCCAGGAGAUCGGGAAUGUGGGGCUGAAAGUUCCAGCCUUCUAAUCUGCCUUGUCUUGUUCCUCUGGCAACCAGCUCCCAACCUGAAACUAUCUAGGGGCCCACCAAGAGUAACCUCAUUAGCAAAAAAAAAGAUAUAUCACUCUGGAGAUUCCCAAGGGUCUUAGAAGCUCUGUGCCAAGAACCUGGGACUAAGACCAAUUAUAUAUUUAUUAUAUCAAAAUGUCACAGGUCUCUAAUUUUUUAUUUCUUUUAAAAAUAAGAUUUGAAGUAAGACAAAAUGUUAGAGGUAUUAAUUUGGGGUAUUGCAAAUAUGAGAGCAUACAGCAUUCUUAAUGUUUUUCUCUCUUUUUCCAAUUUCUCAAAAAGUUGAGGGGAGAAAAAAUACUUUUGAUAGCUUCCUAUUAUUUACUACAGUAGUUCUCAGCAGAAGUGGCACCCCACACACACAACAGAGGUGAAAGUGUUUUGAUUGUCACAAUGAUUGGGAAGCAUCUCUGGCGUCUGGUAGGUGGAGGCCAAGGAUGCCAGAAUUCUCACAAUGUCUGGGAUAGUCUUACACAACAUACUGUCCCAAGUCCUGCACAACUAUCAAAUGUCCCUAUAAAUAUUCAAGUGAAAAAAUUUAUAAUUAGCUGAGCCUAUAACCUCUUUUACCUAUAAAUAUGAAGUAUUUUUUUGUACAGUUUUUAGUGUACUCUGAAUCCUCUAGGCAUGCAAUUACUGUAUAAAUGGAGGGGAGAUUGUAGUGUAGUUUAUUUAGAACUUUUGUUCACCAUUUCAAAAAACCAUGCCAUUGACGGCAGUCUGUUCCUGGCAUUUGAAUCUCUGACACAACACGAUAGUAUCAGUCUGCAUUUGUAGCCACUGUAUUCAUGGUGAAUGUACAGAAGUGCAAGCAUCUGAGUGCUAGUAUAACUAUGCCCAAUAUUUAUAUGUGGAAAUAAUUUUAUUAUAAUUCUUAAAACAUAUCCUUUAUAUUACUAUUAGAACAUUAUGGUGAUUUUUAAAAAUUAUGUGUACAGUAGAUAAGUUAAAUGUUAAUUGCAUUUAAGGAUAGUAAAGGGAGUGUUACAAAUAUUUGUAACCACCUGGUUUAGAAAUAAUCCAUUCAUAUUUGGUCAGCUUUUGCUAUGGUGUUGAGGUGAUGGUUAAUUUUGUUUCAACUUGGCUAGGCUAUGGUGCCCAGUUGUUUCGUCAAACAUCAGUCUGCAUGUUGCUUUGAAGGUAUUUUUUAGGUGUAAUUAACAUAUCAGCCAACUUGGAGUAAAGCACAUUGUCCUCCAUAAUAUGGAUGGGCCUCACCCAAUCAGUUGAGGCCUUAAAAGCAAAGACAGAGUUCACAAAGAAGGAAUUCGGCAUUAAGACUGUAACAUAGAACCCCUACCUGAGUUUCCAGCCUGUGGAUCUUGGACUGCAACAACUCUUCACUGCAUUUUCAGCCUGCCGGCCUGCUCUAAAUUUCAGACCUCCCAGUCCCUACAACUGUGUUAGCCAAUUCCCUGAAAUAAAUCAGUCUCUCUUGCCCUC
ensembl:lncRNA